rnacentral:lncRNA from 1 species
AUGGGGCCCUCACACACACACAUUUCUAGCCUAGGCCUUAUGGGGCCCUCCCCUCAAAUGAAUGAAUUCACAGUUAAGCUCACACACACACAUUUCCAGUCUAGGUCUUAUGGGGCCCUCACACACACACAUUUCCAGUCUAGGUCUUAUGGGGCCCUCACACACAUUUCCAGUCUAGGUCUCAUGGGGCCCUCACACACACACAUUUCCAGUCUAGGUCUUAUGGGGCCCUUACACACACACAUUUCCAGUCUAGGUCUUAUGGGGCCCUCACGUAUGGAUCUCACUCUUAGUGAUUUUACAUCAUUGGAACAACAUCUGUCAAUAUUUAAACUAGUGUAAUUGCUGGUGUAAUUCAACACUGGUCAAGCUGCUGCAUGUUCAGAAUGAGUAUUUUGGAUGUACUGCAUUGCAACAUCUUAUUUGUUGCUCUGACACUUGCUGUUACCUCUAGAAAAGACAAGUGUAUGCUCUUAUAUUUCAGCUGUGCUAGAUGAGAAAUGUUUUCACAUGAGCUAACUUUUGUAACCUUUGGUUUCUGUUGUUUUUUGUCUGAUUUCCAGGAGCCAAAGCAGUUAUUUACCAUCAAAGGGUUUUCCCUAGUGAACUAUACCGAAAGUGAUGAGACGGAUGAGGAGUAUAUUAAAGACAACCCUCCCAGUCCACACUGUGAUGUUGUUCGAAAGAAGACGAGGAAUGGAAACAUUUCAGGUAUGCCUCAGAUACUGUACUUGAAAAUAUUGCUGUUUCUAUAAAUGGUUCAAACGUCCUUCCCCUGUUACUAAUUUUAAUAGAAUGUAAGCCAAAAUGUAUUACAUAUCUUGAAAUUGAAAAGCCUUUUUUGCAGGUGGCUGGAGUAGCUGAUUUUUCUGAUCCUCUGUUUGACUCAUAUGAGAGUAUAGUAGAUGAAACUGAUGAGGAUUCUAGUCUGCAGUCAGACAAUGAAGUUGUUCCAAAAAAAUGUUUGGUAUGUCUCUGUGUACAUUUCUACCAAAAAAAUUCCCCUGUAUAAGAUUUCCAUAGAAUGUGAACAAAAAUGCAUAAUCAUACAUGAUACAAUUCCCUUUUUGCAGAUGGAUAGAGUACCACAUUUUUCUGUUCCUCUUAAUGAGUCAAGUGAUGACAGCAUAGAUGAGCCUUCCACUUCUAUGUCUGGAAUGGCUUCACAAUGGCCGAGGAGAAACUGUCACCGUCCUGUAAGCCUAAUUUUUUCAUACAUUAUACCACUUAGUGGUUAGUGCUAACUAACUCCGUGUGGGUGGCGUCAGAUGUUUAACGAUACACAGCUGAUCAUGUACUUCAAAACAAUUUUACCCCCAAGCGAAAUACAGGGAAAAAAAGCCUUAUAUCGAGUAUAUCGGGGCCUUUACUCUCCUCACGUAAUAAAUGAAAACUUUGUUCAUAUUGGACCUCAAUCUAACAGCUUUGUGUAAAAAAAAAAAUUAUUUUAUUUUAAAUAUUUUUAUAGCCUGUGAUGUGAUUAGAGGAGACAAAUGCGCAUCUCCAGAAACUUGAGCCUUAAAUACAGUUUAUAGUCAAAUCAGAAUCAGAAAGGGCUUUAUUGCCAAGUAUGUUUGCGCAAACAAGGAAUUUGUUUUAGUGACAAGCUUCCAGUACACAGAGACGACAAAAAAAAAAGGCAAAUAAAUAAGUGUAUAAACAAUUGUGCUAUAAAU